UGGGGAAUAUUGCACAAUGGGCGAAAGCCUGAUGCAGCAACGCCGCGUGAGUGAUGAAGGCCUUCGGGUUGUAAAGCACUUUUGUCCGGAAAGAAAUCCUUGGCUCUAAUACAGUCGGGGGAUGACGGUACCGGAAGAAUAAGCACCGGCUAACUACGUGCCAGCAGCCGCGGUAAUACGUAGGGUGCAAGCGUUAAUCGGAAUUACUGGGCGUAAAGCGUGCGCAGGCGGUUUGCUAAGACCGAUGUGAAAUCCCCGGGCUCAACCUGGGAACUGCAUUGGUGACUGGCAGGCUAGAGUAUGGCAGAGGGGGGUAGAAUUCCACGUGUAGCAGUGAAAUGCGUAGAGAUGUGGAGGAAUACCGAUGGCGAAGGCAGCCCCUGGGCCAAUACUGACGCUCAUGCACGAAAGCGUGGGGAGCAAACAGGAUUAGAUACCCUGGUAGUCCACGCCCUAAACGAUGUCAACUAGUUGUUGGGGAUUCAUUUCCUUAGUAACGUAGCUAACGCGUGAAGUUGACCGCCUGGGGAGUACGGUCGCAAGAUUAAAA
rnacentral:rRNA from 1 species